GGAUAUAGCUCAGUUGGUUAGAGCGCUACCUUGACAUGGUAGAGGUCAGCGGUUCGAAUCCGCUUAUC
rnacentral:tRNA from 1 species